rnacentral:ncRNA from 1 species
CUACAGGACUGGGCAACCCCUUUAACCUCCUUCGUGCUGGGGGAUAGGGCUUUGUAAUGCUUUCCCUCGAACGAUGAAUUCACAGUAAGCACGAGUGAUUACGUGUUGAUUACGUCUCUGACCUUUGUACACACCGCCCAUCACUUCUACCCGAUUGAAUAAUUUAGUGAGGUUUUCGGACUGGCUGUUGAAGUGGCUUU